GAUGAACGCUGGCGGCGUGCAUAACACAUGCAAGUCGAACGGUGAAGCAGGAGCUUGCUCUUGUGGAUCAGUGGCGAACGGGUGAGUAACACGUGAGCAACCUGCCCCUGACUCUGGGAUAAGCGCUGGAAACGGCGUCUAAUACUGGAUAUGUGAUGUGACCGCAUGGUCUGCAUCUGGAAAGAAUUUCGGUUGGGGAUGGGCUCGCGGCCUAUCAGCGUGUUGGUGAGGUAAUGGCUCACCAAGGCGUCGACGGGUAGCCGGCCUGAGAGGGUGACCGGCCACACUGGGACUGGGACACGGCCCAGACUCCUACGGGAGGCAGCAGUGGGGAAUAUUGCACAAUGGGCGGAAGCCUGAUGCAGCAACGCCGCGUGAGGGAUGACGGACUUCGGGUUGUAAACCUCUUUUAGCAGGGAAGAAGCGAAAGUGACGGUACCUGCAGAAAAAGCACCGGCUAACUACGUGCCAGCAGCCGCGGUAA
rnacentral:rRNA from 1 species